rnacentral:rRNA from 1 species
GACGAACGCUGGCGGCGUGCUUAACACAUGCAAGUCGAGCGGUAAGGCCCUUUCGGGGGUACACGAGCGGCGAACGGGUGAGUAACACGUGGGUGACCUGCCCUCAGCUCUGGGAUAAGCCUGGGAAACUGGGUCUAAUACUGGAUAUGACUCCACGGUGCAUGUCGUGGGGUGGAAAGCCUUGUGCGGCUGAGGAUGGGCCCGCGGCCUAUCAGCUUGUUGGUGGGGUGAUGGCCUACCAAGGCGACGACGGGUAGCCGGCCUGAGAGGGCGACCGGCCACACUGGGACUGAGACACGGCCCAGACUCCUACGGGGAGGCAGCAGUGGGGAAUCUUGCGCAAUGGGCGAAAGCCUGACGCAGCGACGCCGCGUGAGGGAUGACGGCCU